CGGACCCAGGAUCGUUAGUGGCUGCACCUGGUUUGGAGCUCAAAAGGCCACAGUCUUGAGACCCGAGGAGGCUCGCUGGCUCUGCCUCGAUGUACUAUUGUAUGGUCAGGAAGUUGUGUUUGUCAGUGUGGUUUUGGAAUUUACUGUUCGGGGGAAGGGAGCCGUUGUGGCUAGACUAGAGGCCCAUGGGCAUACAUCACCCGCAGUGAGUCUCUGUCUAGAAACACUAGCUUAGACCUGGGCAGACCACCUCCUGUAUCUUUUGGUUAGCGUGCUAAAGCUACAGCACUAGUACCUAGGAACAAGCCUGUGUAUUUUUGUUUGUUUCGUUGUUUUGGUCUUGUCCAGCCCUUCUCCCUGUAAUCCGUGUAAAUAGAAAUAAAUAAAUAACCAAUACACGGUAAAAACGGUUUGUGUCCUGCUUGCACCACGACCCCCACAGGCCCCGGUUGGUGACACACUUGGACCUUGAACAGCGGCGUAUCAGCAGUCCCCUCCCUUCUAGGGAGCAGGCGUAACAAGUGGGGGCUCGUCCGGGAUCUCUGUUGGCCCGCUGCUGCUGAGAGGAUCUUUCUGUGGUCAAUAAUUGGGGCAUGUACGGCGUGGUGUAAGCAGACUCGUGUAGUUGGACUGGAUACUGGUUAGUUAGGUGGUGUUACUCAGGUACAAAUUUUUAUUGUGUACAGAUGGCUACCCUCACCCUAGCAACGUUCUUGGAGAACCCUACUUUAGGUCUCCUAACGAGAAUGCGCAAGGAAGAGCUAAAAAAAAUAGCUGAGCACUACAAGCUACGUGUCAGUGAACAAGCUUUAAAGGCUGAGAUUGUAGAACAAAUCAAGCAUUAUUUAUUGGAUCUAGAAGAGGCAGGCGUCAUGUCCCUGGACGAGGAGGAUCCCGUAGAGGGUGCCGAGGAAAGGACCGCAGGAGUCUCCUCUCCCACACCGCCGGUGGACAGUGGGGAGCGUAAAGAGGCUCCAGCUCCUUGGACGCUGCCAAAGUUUCUUCCGUUUUCCCCAGUGGCAGGUGGAUCUGAGGUAGGGGAGGUAGACAAGCUGCGUAAACAGAUGGCACAUCUUCAGGCAGAACUGAAAGACAGAGAAGAGAGGAAAAGAUAUGAAUUUGAGUUGGAACUCAGAAAAAUAGAAGCAGAUAAGGAGGUCAGAAUAAAAAUUAGGCAGAUGGAGCUCGAGGCAGGUGUAGGGGUCUCACCCUCAGGGCCACGUGAGCCACCUCCAUUUAAGGUGAGCCAAAACGUUCCGAUGGUUCCACCGUUUAGGGAGACCGAAGUAGACCGCUACUUCGUAGCAUUUGAGCGUGUAGCCGUCGCUCUGCAAUGGCCAAAGGAGGUGUGGCCUCUUCUCCUGCAGUGCAAGCUGUCUGGGAAGGGCCAGGAAGUGGUCGCAGCGCUUUCCCUGGAAGACAGUUUGCAGUAUGAUGUGGUUAAAGCAACAGUACUUAGAGCCUACGAGUUAGUACCUGAAGCCUACAGGCAACGCUUCAGGUCUCACAAGAAAGUGGGGAGUCGUACAUUUGUGGAGUUUGCUAGGGACAAGGAGUCUCUAUUUGAGCGCUGGUGUGCAGCGAGCAAGGUAACAACUUUGUUGGAUCUGAAAGAGCUCGUUUUAUUAGAAGAAUUCAAGAACCACUUAUCUGAGCACCUAGUGGUGUACUUGAAUGAGCGGAAGGUAGAGAAGUUGACCCAGGCCGCUGUUAUGGCGGACGAAUAUGCUCUGACCCACAAAACUGUGUUUAGUGGAUCUCAUACUGUCGUCCCAUCGACGUCUUGGGCACGCCGGUCUUCACUUGACCCCGCCAGAAGACUCACAGAAAAAAGAGAGUGUUUUUACUGUCAUGAAGUGGGCCACUUGAUUUCAGAUUGUGCGGUUCUGAAAACAAAGACCUCUCAGUCACCACCCCGCAGCAAGAAAAGUGUCGGUCUUAUCCAGUCUACUCCUCGCCUAGACGCUGUUGCUGCGGACAAGAUGGUUGGAGCUGAGCCGGAUCCUAGGUAUGCUCCAUUUGUGUCAGUUGGGAGUGUUUCUAUCACUGGAGAACCAGAGGACCACACUUUAGUCAAAAUCUUACGAGACACCGGUGCAGCACAAUCCGUAAUCUGUAAAGACGCGUUGCCCUGGUCUGACCUUAAUUACUGUGGAUCUAAUGUUCUCCUGUGUGGGAUUGAAACUAACCCCAUCUGUGUACCGUUACACUGGUUACACUUAAAGUCAGAGCUCAUUUCAGGACGUUUCCGGGUUGGCGUCGUGCCCAAGUUACCGGUGGAGGGGGUAACUCUGUUGCUGGGUAACGACAUCGCUGGGGGUAGGGUAUCUCCGGUCCUAGAGGUAAUAGAAACACCUGAAACAAAAGAUGCAGAUGUGUUUAUUGUUAAACAGUUUCCACAUGUUUUCCCGGCUUGUGUCCUAACAAGAGCACAGUCCAGGGGGGAAGGGGAGGUGGUGGAUUUGUCGGAUUCGGUCUUUGAGCAGGUUAGGGGUGAGGAACCAAAGCCUGAGGUACAGGCCACUCUGCCUACAAUGAGGGAAGAUGUCUGCGCCAGUCAGUUACAGGACGUUCUCCCAUCCUUAGCAGUAGAAAAGCUAAUUGAGUGGCAGAAAGCGGAUACCAGUCUGAGGAAGUGUUUUGAUGCAAUAGAGGCCCCUGGAGAAACAGGCCUGCAGGGUGCUGCCUAUUCAGUGAAGGAGGGAGUUCUAAUGCGCAGUUGGACAGCACACAAAACCGGUGAGGACUGGGAUGUUGUUCAGCAGGUAGUUGUUCCUUCACCGCUACGACCGCAAAUACUGUCGUUGGCUCAUGAUCCUGGAUGGGCAGGACAUCUAGGGAUAACAAAAACAUACAACCGAAUUCUCAGGUACUUUUUCUGGCCAGGUUUAAAAUCUGAUGUUGUCAAAUACUGCAGAACCUGUCAUGUGUGCCAACUAAUAGGAAAGGUGAACCAACCUGUUCCUCCCGUGCCACUUCAUCCAAUUCCUGUGAUUGGAGAACCGUUCGACCGAGUGAUAGUGGACUGUGUGGGCCCACUACCGAAGACACGAGCAGGUAACCAGUACCUUCUCACUAUUAUGUGCAGUGCUACACGGUACCCAGAAGCCAUCCCCCUCCGAACAAUAACGACCAAAACCAUCAUUAAAGCCCUGAUGAAGUUCUUCUCCACAUUUGGACUCCCGAAAGUGAUCCAAACUGACCAAGGUACUAACUUCAUGUCCAAGUUGUUCGCUGCUACAAUGAAGAAUCUGUCUAUCACACAUCAGGUCUCCAGCGCGUACCAUCCAGAGAGCCAGGGGGCUCUAGAGCGCUGGCACCAGACCUUGAAGACGAUGCUAAGAAAAUACUGUGUGGAGACAAAUACUAGUUGGGACGAGGGAGUCCCCUUUGUUCUGUUCGCUGUCAGAGAGACCAUCCAGGAAUCAUUAGGAUUCAGUCCCGCUGAUCUGGUUUUCGGUCAUACGCCACGAGGUCCGAUGAAAGUUCUGAAGGAGCACUUGUUAUCUGAAGUGUCCAGUAGCUCCCCUCGAAAUGUGCUGGACUAUGUUAGUGAGAUGCGGGAGAGGCUGCAUAUCGCGUGCUCAGUGGCCAGAGAGUCCCUCUCUACCUCUCAGGAACGCAUGAAGGUGCAGUAUGACAGAAAGACAAAGGACCGCUCUUUUGUGCCAGGGGAGCAGGUACUCGUUCUCCUACCCGUACCUGGUUCGUCUCUCUCGGCCAGGUUUACUGGGCCUUAUAUUGUCGAAAAAAAAAUAAGUGACACUAACUAUAUAAUUAAAACCCCGGACCGCAGACGCUCCUCCCGUCUGUGUCAUAUCAACAUGCUCAAGUCUUACCGUAAACGUGACGUUCCUGACGUGUCUCCCCAAGGACCAGUUCUGCCCACCUUCACCAGCGCAGCACUAGUGGUGCCCAUACCUGAGGGGGACUGGAAGGAAAACGACGAGGAUGGGUUAGUAACACGCAAUACAUUACAACAGUGUAAACGACUCAACAACCCGGAAAUGCUACAAAAACUACCGUCCCUAAUGGGACAUUUAGACCAGAGACAAACUGAAGAACUCACCGCACUAAUACAUUCCUUUCUCAAAGUAUUCGGCGAAGUACCAAGCCGCACCUCUGUUUUGGAGCACGACGUAGACGUUGGAAACACUCGACCUAUUCGCCAGCACCCGUAUCGGGUUAACACACAUAAGAGAGAAAUAAUGAAGAGUGAAGUGGAUUACUUAUUGCAGAAUGGAAUGGCAAAACCCAGCUACAGCCCGUGGAGUUCUCCGUGCAUACUAGUCCCCAAGCCAGACGGUACGUCCCGCUUGUGUACAGACUACCGCAAAAUCAACUCUGUGACUGUGCAGGAUUCGUUUCCAUUACCCCGCUUGGAGGAUUGCAUCGAUCGCAUUGGCUCCGCAGCAUACGUGAGUAAACUGGACUUGCUUAAAGGUUACUGGCAGGUGCCUUUAACCCAAAGAGCGUCUAAUAUAUCGGCCUUUGUGACACCAGACAACUUUGUGCAAUACACAGUCAUGCCAUUUGGGAUGUGUAAUGCACCCGCCACGUUCCAACGCCUAGUUAACAUUGUGUUUAAAGACCUCCCGAAUUGCACAGCUUACCUUGACGACUUGGUGAUCCAUUCACGCACCUGGGUUGAACAUCUUGCCACGCUGCGGUCAGUAUUCCAGCGGCUAGAGGGCGCUUCAUUGACGCUCAAUCUAGCAAAGUGCGAAUUCGGAAAAGCAACGGUGACUUAUCUUGGGAAGCAGGUGGGACGUGGACAAGUGCGCCCCAUUGCUAGCAAGGUUGAGGCAAUAGCGAACUUUCCCACUCCGAACACUCGCCGGCAGCUGCGACGUUUUCUGGGAAUGGUGGGAUACUACAGAACAUUCUGCAGGAACUUCUCAACCGUAGUAUCCCCCCUGACAUCCUUGCUGAGCCCGAAAGUAACUUUCAAGUGGUCACCAGAGUGUACCUCCGCGUUUGAGUCAGCGAAAGCAUUGCUAUGCAACGCUCCGGUUUUAGCUGCCCCCGACUUCGACAAACCAUUUAAACUAGAAAUUGAUGCCUGUAUCGUGGGGGCAGGUGCAGUCCUACUACAGGAGGGUGACGAUGGUGUGGAUCGUCCAAUUAGCUUCUUUUCCAAAAAGUUCAGCCCGUGUCAAAAACGGUAUUCGACAAUUGAGCAAGAGACGCUUGCCUUACUUUUGGCACUCCAGUUCUUCGAAGUCUACGUUGGCUCAAGUAACGUCCCUGUUAUGGUCUUCACUGACCAUAACCCUCUUACCUUUCUUAGGCAAAUGUACAACCAGAACCGCCGCCUCAUGCGGUGGGCUCUGAUCGUGCAGGGGUACAACUUGGCCAUAUCACACGUAAAGGGGUCUGCAAACGUGGUAGCUGACACUCUAUCCCGGGCUUACCAGUGAGGGUAAAGCGGAAAAUUGUACUGUACAUGUACAAGCUGGGGUUUUGCAGCUGUUGUGGGGGAGGGCGUGUUACGGCCCUGUGUUCCACAGCAGGGCCUUGUAUGUGUGUAUGUGCAUUUGUUGUUGAAGUUGCUUGUGUGUGUGUGUCUCCUCUUAAUUGACAGGAUUUACCACCCCCCCCCCCCCCUGAUUGGCUGCGGACCCAGGAUCGUUAGUGGCUGCACCUGGUUUGGAGCUCAAAAGGCCACAGUCUUGAGACCCGAGGAGGCUCGCUGGCUCUGCCUCGAUGUACUAUUGUAUGGUCAGGAAGUUGUGUUUGUCAGUGUGGUUUUGGAAUUUACUGUUCGGGGGAAGGGAGCCGUUGUGGCUAGACUAGAGGCCCAUGGGCAUACAUCACCCGCAGUGAGUCUCUGUCUAGAAACACUAGCUUAGACCUGGGCAGACCACCUCCUGUAUCUUUUGGUUAGCGUGCUAAAGCUACAGCACUAGUACCUAGGAACAAGCCUGUGUAUUUUUGUUUGUUUCGUUGUUUUGGUCUUGUCCAGCCCUUCUCCCUGUAAUCCGUGUAAAUAGAAAUAAAUAAAUAACCAAUACACGGUAAAAACGGUUUGUGUCCUGCUUGCACCACGACCCCCACAGGCCCCGGUUGGUGACACACUUGGACCUUGAACAGCGGCGUAUCAGCAGUCCCCUCCCUUCUAGGGAGCAGGCGUAACAUACAUCCUCCGUUUUGUGCUUCACGGAGACCUGGCUCUGAUCGAUACCGGACUCGGCGCUCCAGCUGGCGGGAUUCAAGCUGCUCAGAGCGGACCGCAACACUGAGCUGUUAGGCGGGACGUAGGGUGGAGGAAUCUGCUUCUACUCCAACAUCAGCUGGUGCAACAACUACUGCAACGUUCUCCUGAUCUGGAAUCUUUUAUAAAUAACUGUAAACCCUUUUUCUCCCCCUGCUGCUGGGAAGGAAGAGUAAGGAGGUGGAGAAACUCACUGAAGAGACGCUGAAAAGUAUCAUAGACUUGGCUGAGAAUAUCAAUCAAGCAAAGGUGACUCUUCAGCAGACCUCCAACUGGGUCAAUGUCAAGUUCUC